rnacentral:rRNA from 1 species
UACGUAGGGUGCGAGCGUUAAUCGGAAUUACUGGGCGUAAAGCGCGCGUAGGUGGUUUGUUAAGUUUGGAUGUGAAUCCCCGGGCUCAACCUGGGAACUGCAUUCAAAACUGACAAAGCUAGAGUAUGGUAGAGGGUGGUGGAAUUUCCUGUGUAGCGGUGAAAUGCGUAGAUAUAGGAAGGAACAUCAGUGGCGAAAGCGGCUUCCUGGACCG